GCUGGGUGUGGUGGCGCACGCCUGUCAUCCCAGCAGCUGAGAGGCUGAGGCAGGAGGAUCGUGACUAAGCCAGCUUCAGCAAAAAGUGAGGCACUAAGCAAUUCAGUGAGACCCCGUCUCUA
rnacentral:sRNA from 1 species